rnacentral:rRNA from 1 species
AUUGAACGCUGGCGGCAGGCCUAACACAUGCAAGUCGAGCGGAGCGGCGGACGGGUGAGUAAUGCCUAGGAAUCUGCCUGGUAGUGGGGGAUAACGUCCGGAAACGGGCGCUAAUACCGCAUACUAUCAGAUGAGCCUAGGUCGGAUUAGCUAGUUGGUGGGGUAAAGGCCUACCAAGGACACGAUCCGUAACUGGUCUGAGAGGAUGAUCAGUCACACUGUAAAUGAGACACUGUCCAUAAUACUACGGUAGGCAGCAGUGGGGAAUAUUGGACAAUUGGCGAAAGCCUGAUCCAGCCAGGCCGGUUGUGUGAAGAAGGUCUUCGGAGUGUAAAGCACUUUAAGUUGGGAGGCGUUACCAACAGAAUAAGCACCGGCUAAAUUCGUGCCAGCAGCAGCGGUAAUUC